rnacentral:rRNA from 1 species
GAUGAACGCUGGCGGCGUGCUUAACACAUGCAAGUCGAACGAAGCACUUUAUUUGAUUUCCUUCGGGACUGAUUAUUUUGUGACUGAGUGGCGGACGGGUGAGUAACGCGUGGGUAACCUGCCUUGUACAGGGGGAUAACAGUUGGAAACGGCUGCUAAUACCGCAUAAGCGCACAGCAUCGCAUGAUGCAGUGUGAAAAACUCCGGUGGUAUAAGAUGGACCCGCGUUGGAUUAGCUAGUUGGUGAGGUAACGGCCCACCAAGGCGACGAUCCAUAGCCGACCUGAGAGGGUGACCGGCCACAUUGGGACUGAGACUCGGCCCAAACUCCUACGGGAGGCAGCAGUGGGGAAUAUUGCACAAUGGGCGAAAGCCUGAUGCAGCGACGCCGCGUGAGCGAAGAAGUAUUUCGGUAUGUAAAGCUCUAUCAGCAGGGAAGAUAAUGACGGUACCUGACUAAGAAGCACCGGCUAAAUACGUG